rnacentral:rRNA from 1 species
GUAGGGAAUAUUGGGCAAUGGAAGGAAUUCUGACCCAGCCAUGCCGCGUGCAGGAAUACAGUCCUAUGGACUUUAAACUGCUUUUAUUAUAGAGUAACCUGGGGGACGUGUCCCCCACUGCAAGUAUAUAAUGAAUAAGCAUCGGCUAACUCCGUGCCAGCAGCCGCGGUAAUACGGGGGAUGCAAGCGUUAUCCGGAUUUAUUGGGUUUAAAGGGUGCGCAGGCUGAUCGGUAAGUCAUGGGUGAAAAGUCACUGCUUAACGUGGAGGGAGCCUGGGAGACUGCUGUGCUAGAGGAUUGGAAGGGAGACUGGAAUUCUUGGAGUAGCAGUGAAAUGCGUAGAUAUCAAGAGGAACACCAGUGGCGAAGGCGAGUCUCUGGACAAGACCUGACGCUGAGGCACGAAGGCCAGGGGAUCAAACGGGAUUAGAUACCCGGGUAGUCC